ensembl:snRNA U6 U6 spliceosomal RNA
GUGCUCGCUUGGCAGCACAUAUACCAGAAUUGGAACGAUACAGAAAGGAUUAGCAUGGCCCCUGCACAAGGAUGACAUGCAAAUUCGUGAAGCAUUCCAUAUUUUU